AAUGAUAUGCCUGAAAAAGGAUUAUUUUGAUAGAAUAAAUUAUGUAUAAAUUUAAUAUACUUUCAUUA
rnacentral:tRNA from 1 species